rnacentral:RNase_P_RNA from 1 species
CGGAGCAAGACCAAAUAGGGAUCCUAUGGCGUGGCCCGCGCUGGAUCCGGGUAGGUUGCUAGAGGCUGGUGGCGACGCCAGCCCCAGAUGAAUGACUGUCCACGACAGAACCCGGCUUAUCGACCGGUCCAUUUC